GACGAACGCUGGCGGCGUGCUUAACACAUGCAAGUCGAACGAAGAGCGAUGGAAGCUUGCUUCUAUCAAUCUUAGUGGCGAACGGGUGAGUAACGCGCAAUCAACCUGCCCUUCAGAGGGGGACAACAGUUGGAAACGACUGCUAAUACCGCAUACGAUCCAAUCUCGGCAUCGAGGAUGGAUGAAAGGUGGCCUCUAUUUAUAAGCUAUCACUGAAGGAGGGGAUUGCGUCUGAUUAGCUAGUUGGAGGGGUAACCGCCCACCAAGGCGAUGAUCAGUAGCCGGUCUGAGAGGAUGAACGGCCACAUUGGGACUGAAACACCGCCCAAACUCCUACCGGAGGCAGCAGUGGGGAAUCUUCCGCAAUGGACGAAAGUCUGACGGAGCAACGCCGCGUGAGUGAUGACGGCCUUCGGGUUGUAAAGCUCUGUUAAUCGGGACGAAAGGCCUUCUUGCGAAUAGUUACAAGGAUUGACGGUACCGGAAUAGAAAGCCACGGCUAACUACGUGCCAGCAGCCGCGGUAAUACGUAGGUGGCAAGCGUUGUCCGGAAUUAUUGGGCGUAAAGCGCGCGCAGGCGGAUUGGUCAGUCUGUCUUAAAAGUUCGGGGCUUAACCCCGUGAUGGGAUGGAAACUGCCAA
rnacentral:rRNA from 1 species